rnacentral:lncRNA from 1 species
UGCUUCUCUUUUGUGACAGAGGCUGGCACUAGAGAAAAAGUGCCAGGCUGAAGAGUAUGUGAAAUUGAUCACCUCGAUAGGGGAGGGGCCCCAGGAGUGGAAAUCUGGGAGAGCGAAGACUGGCUGGGAGAGAAGUGAGGAUCUCUCUGUCUUCAGACAUUGAAGAGAGAAGGUGGAUAAAGACUUUCUCCUGAGGGUUACCCAUUUUUCCUGCUGGUGACUGGAAAUCUUUCCCCCCAACACUUCCCAAUUGAAGGGACUUCUGAAGAGAAACCUGAGCAUACUUUACCUCAGCUCCUGUUGCCCAGGGGAUGAGAUGCAGAGCAGAAGCCAGCACAUCCCUGCCCAUCUCUGGUCUUGAUAUCUUCUACUUCUCAGCUUUUAUUCCAAAAGAGAAGCUCUCUGAAUCUGAGUUUGAACCUGUUCAAUCUGGAGCAAAUCGUUCCAUCUUCUGGUGCCACAUUUCACCAGAGAGGAAAUCAUCCCAGGCCCAAGCCCCCCUUCUCAAGGGGAGAUUUUAAGGGUGGAUUCAUGAGCAAAAGGAACUAUUUCACCAUAAGGCAGGAGGAGGAUGAGGAAGAAAAGAGGAAUUUUUCAAACUGCACUCCUUUGGUCUGGACUUCAUCAUCAAGCACUUUCCCUCCGCACCCCUUUUCACAGGCUUCUUUUGUCAGAAGACAUUCACCAACCACACAAAAUUACAAAAAGGAGGGAGGCAAGUUGAAAUUCCUGUUUCCUGGGAGUUAUAGUAACCAAGGUAAGACUACCGCUGGGGGCAAUUGCACAUUUUCCAAUCUGUGUGGAAACCUGUUCACUUUUCCAUUUAGUGGUUAAGGUUGAGUGGGGAGGAGCAGCAGUGCCUUGAAUCUCUGGAAACUCUUUUCAAAGAAUUAACCCAAAGCUUAAUUAGCAACAAUUUCCAGCUUAAUCAAAGCAUAGAUUUAUUACUUAUGGUCACAAGAGAGAGAGUUUUACAUCACCAAAAGGAAUACUGUGAAAGAGCUUUUCAUCCAACAGAACAAGGCUAAAUAUCUUUAUGUUCUUUAAACAAACAAACAAACAAAAUCAAAGGAAAGUCUUAGACUAGAUUGUGGAGGUAUCUAGAGUUAGGAGAUGAAUGGAUAUAUAAAAAUUGGACAAGAUUAAGGAAGUAUUCACUUUAUCAUGAGCAUGUUGCUUCCUCUGAUUAAAACAUAAGCUUCUUGAAGACAAGUUUUCAUUUCAUUUUUGUCUUUUUAUUUCCAGGGCCUAGGAUAAUAACCAAAACAUAAUAGCUGAUCAAUAAAUGCUUUCUAAUAAAUUAAUUUCUUAAUUCU